rnacentral:tRNA from 1 species
UGCGGGGUCGUCUAAUGGUAGGACUAUAGCCUCUGGAGCUAUGUAUGUUGGUUCGACUCCAACCCCCGCAG